UUGGGGUGCAGCUACCAUGCAGUCGAACGGAGUAAUAAUUUGCUUGCAAAUUAUUGCUUAGUGGCGGACGGGUGAGUAACGCGUAGGAAUCUGCCUUAUGGUGGGGGACAACAGUUGGAAACGGCUGCUAAUACCGCAUAUUAUUUUCGAAUAAAAGGUGGCACUUAGGUGCUGUCGCCAUGAGAUGAGCCUGCGUUGGAUUAGCUAGUUGGUGGGGUAAUUGCUUACCAAGGCUGUGAUCCAUAGCUGUUCUGAGAGGAAGAUCAGCCACACUGGGACUGAGACACGGCCCAGACUCCUACGGGAGGCAGCAGUGGGGAAUAUUGGACAAUGGGGGCAACCCUGAUCCAGCAAUACCAUGUGUGUGAAGAAGGCCUUAGGGUUGUAAAGCACUUUAGUUCGUGAGGAAGGCUAUUAGGUUAAGAGCUAGAUAGUUUGACGUUAGCGAAAGAAUAAGCACCGGCUAACUCCGUGCCAGCAGCCGCGGUAAUACGGAGGGUGCGAGCGUUAAUCGGAAUUACUGGGCGUAAAGGGUUCGUAGGUGGUUAGAUAAGUCAGAUGUGAAAGCCCUGGGCUCAACCUGGGAGUUGCAUAUGAAACUGUUUGACUAGAGUUUGGUAGAGGAUUGGGGAAUUUCCAGUGUAGCGGUGAAAUGCGUAGAGAUUGGAAAGAACAUCGAUGGCGAAGGCAACAAUCUGGACCUGAACUGACACUGAGGGACGAAAGCGUGGGUAGCAAACAGGAUUAGAUACCCUGGUAGUCCACGCUGUAAACGAUGAGUACUAGCUGUUGGGCCUGGUGUAAAAGGUUUAGUGGCGCAGCUAACGCGUUAAGUACUCCGCCUGGGGACUACGGCCGCAAGGUUAAAACUCAAAGGAAUUGACGGGGACCCGCACAAGCGGUGGAGCAUGUGGUUUAAUUCGAUGCAACGCGAAGAACCUUACCUACCCUUGACAUCCUAGGAAGGCGAAAGAGAUUUUGUUGUGCCUUCGGGAACUUAGAGACAGGUGCUGCAUGGCUGUCGUCAGCUCGUGUUGUGAGAUGUUGGGUUAAGUCCCGCAACGAGCGCAACCCUUAUGUUUAGUUGCCAUCAUUAAGUUGGGCACUCUAAAGAGACUGCCGCUGAUAAGGCGGAGGAAGGUGGGGACGACGUCAAGUCAUCAUGGCCCUUACGGGUAGGGCUACACACGUGCUACAAUGGGCAUUACAGAGGGCAGCUAAGGGGCGACCUGGAGCGAAACCCAGAAAGGUGUUCGUAGUCCGGAUUGAUCUCUGCAACUCGAGAUCAUGAAGUCGGAAUCGCUAGUAAUCGCGAAUCAGAAUGUCGCGGUGAAUACGUUCCCGGGUCUUGUACACACCGCCCGUCACACCAUGGGAGUGGGUUGCAAAAGAAGUAGAUAGUCUAACCGUUGGGGGACGUACCACUUGCGAUAC
rnacentral:rRNA from 1 species